rnacentral:lncRNA from 1 species
AAGUCAACUAUAAUCCAAACAAUUUUCCUCGUACAAACUAAUUUGUCAAACAAAUUAUAUAAACAAAACAAUGGUUGAUACCAACUCAAAUGAAACAAACAUCAAACAAUACAAGAAGACAUACUUUAAAGCACAUCAAUUCACACACAAAUUCUUGAACAAAUUAUACAAUCACACUCACAUAAGCAGACGUGGUAAGAAUUAUAUACAAGUAAUUUACCUGAAGCAGAGUCAUCCUCAUUAAAUGGUGCAUCUACAUUUGUCUUACCGAUCCAUGCUAUCAUUG